CUGAGCAGAACUUCCCAAGCAAACAGCCUUGCUCCACGGCACCGUUGUUUCCUGAGCUUUGGGAUUCACUCCUUUGCUGAAUGUCUGAUCCUGGGACUUGUUUGGAACUCCUCUUCCACUGUGCAGCCUCCUACCUGGGAUCUGCUCAUCUACAUACAGUGCUCUGCAGAGAAAAGGCUCUUUCCUGAUAACACCCUGAGCUCCAGUGUUUCCAUGACUUCUUAUUCCAACUGCAACACUUCUGGCAGGUGGCACAGCAUCAUUUGGUAUUUUAUCCACUCCAGGUGUUCCCAAAAUUCAGUAUGAACAUCCGUUUAGGCAAAGCCUGAAUCAUGGCAUCCUCUCAGCACCUUGCAGCAGGGCAACACAGUGACACGAGAAGGCUGCAGCCUCACCUCACCCUGCUGCAUCAUGAGAUUCCCAGCAACGUUAACCUUUACCAUAACUGGGCACACUUACCAUGUUUUCACUUGAAUGAAACCAAAGUCUCUGAAGAGAAAGAACUCAGGGAAGAGCUCACACCACCCAGCACCUGCACUUCUUUGUCUCUAGAACCAUCCCAGUGGCUCCCAUCAGCCCAGCCUGAUGAUGCCUGCAAGCUGCUGGAGUACUUCCCUCUCAGACACAGAGGAAAUAAAGUUCUUCCCAGAAGAGAAACUUCUUGGAGUAAUUCUAUUGCAGCAAAACAUGGGAAGGUUUUUUUAAUGCUGAGUCCCACCACAAAAGGCUGACAACGAUAAUGGGACAUCCUGCAGCACUUAGAGAGAGCUUGUCUCAGGAAUAGCAGUUUUGAACCAAAUCCUGCUCACACAACACCAUGAGAAACACGCUUUUACUAUGAUUGCAGUCAAAAACCAAGGUUCUGCAUCUGCACCAUUAAGCGAAGC